rnacentral:rRNA from 1 species
UACGUAGGGUGCAAGCGUUUGUCCGGAAUUAUUGGGCGUAAAGAGCUCGUAGGCGGUUUGUCGCGUCGAAUGUGAAAACCCGGGGCUCAACUCCGGGCCUGCAUUCGAUACGGGCAGACUAGAGUUCGGUAGGGGAGUCUGGAAUUCCUGGUGUAGCGGUGAAAUGCGCAGAUAUCAGGAGGAACACCGGUGGCGAAGGCGGGACUCUGGGCCGAUACUGACGCUGAGGAGCGAAAGCGUGGGGAGCAAACAGG